UACGAAGGGGGCUAGCGUUGCUCGGAAUCACUGGGCGUAAAGGGUGCGUAGGCGGGUCUUUUAAGUCAGGGGUGAAAUCCUGGAGCUCAACUCCAGAACUGCCUUUGAUACUGAAGAUCUUGAGUUCGGGAGAGGUGAGUGGAACUGCGAGUGUAGAGGUGAAAUUCGUAGAUAUUCGCAAGAACACCAGUGGCGAAGGCGCUCACUGGCCCGAUACUGACGCUGAGGCACGAAGGCCAGGGGAGCAAACGGGG
rnacentral:rRNA from 1 species